AGGCGAUUCGGUGAAGAACUCCUC
rnacentral:siRNA from 1 species